CACUAAAUGUCUCCCACUGCUCGCUGCUCUGAUUCAGCUGGGACCAAGUCUGGUUUAGGGACAGCAUUGACAGAGAUUUGCUUGGAGGAGCCUCUGCAGGAGAGCCUGAAUAACCUACCUCAACUGGCUGAUCCCCAACGUCUGCUGAAUCUUCCAAACCAAUCAGUUUGGGCAUUAAGCUUUCAGGGAGUUUUUCUCGAUCGUCAUAACUACUGGAUUGCCUACGAAUUUCAUUGGCAGUUGUAGCUGAGGCUACAGUUCGUAUUGUUGUCUGGUCCUAGACAGAAGCAGGAUGCAUGGUUAAAAGAGUACUGGGGAUCUUCCUGACCCAGGGAUCAAACCGGCAUCUCCUGCAGCCCCUUCGUUGCAGGUGGAUUCUUUACCUCUGGGCCACCAGGGAAGCCCUUUAAAUUGUCUACUUAAAUACAAUUUGCUUUUCCCCAGCCAAACUUGCCUGUAUUCUAUAGCUAUCAAGUUCUUUUCAAAAUGUGCCUUCUGGUCACAUCACUCCACUCUUCAAUUUUAAAGAAAAUCUGUCUGUGACUUCCCAUUGCUCUUAAGGUAAAGCUAAAUCUAACACAGUGCUAUCCUGUAGAACUUUCUGCAAUAAUGGAAAUGUUCCCUGAACUCUCCAAUAUGGUG
ensembl:lncRNA